UUCGAUUAUGAGAAAAGAAACCAGAUUGAACGCUGGCGGGACGCUACACAUGCAAGUCAGGCGGCAGCACAGACUUCGGUCUGGUGGCGAGUGGCGAACGGGUGAGUAAUGUAUCGGAACGUGCUGGCUGGCAGGGGAUAACUGCGAAAGCGUAGCUAAUACCACAUAUACGCCCUUGAAAGCAGGGGACCUUCGGGCCUCUGCACUAUUGAAGCAGCCGAUAUCGGAUUGGCUAGUUGGUGGGAGUAACGGCUCACCAAGGCGACGAUCGUAGCUGGUUUGAAGAAGGACGACCAGCCACACUGGGACUGAGACACGGCCCAGACUCUACGGGAGGGCAGCAGUGAAAUUUUGGACAAUGGGGGAAACCCUGAUCCAGCCAUCCCGCGUGUCUGCGGUGAGGCCUUCGAAUUUGUAAGCACUUUCGAAAAGGAAAACGGCACGGGGAUAAUACCCCGUGCAACUGACGGUACCUGCAGAAUAAGCACCGGCUAACUACGUGCCAGCAGCCGCGGUAAUACGUAGGGUGCAGCGUUAAUCAAGUACUGGGCGUAAAGCGUGCGCAGGCGGUUCGGAAGAAGAUGUGAAAUCAAGGCUUAACUUUGAGACUGCAUUUUUAACUGCCGAGCUAGAGUGUGUCAGAGGGAGGUGGGUGUAGCAGUGAAAUGCGUAGAUAUGCGGAGAACACCGAUGAAGGCAGCCUCCUGGGAUAAUACUGACGCUCAUGCGAAAGCGUGGGAGCAAACAGGAUUAGAUACCCUGGUAGUCCACGCCCUAAACGAUGUCAACUAGCUGUUGGGGCCUUCGGAGCCUUGGUAGCGCAGCUAACGCGUGAAGUUGACCGCCUGGGAAUUACGGUCGCAAGAUUAAAACUCAAAGGAAUUGACGGGGACCCGCACAAGCGGUGGAUGAUGUGGAUUAAUUCGAUGCAACACGAAAAACCUUACCUACCCUUGACAUGUCUGGAAUCCCGAAGAGAUUUGGGAGUGCUCGCAAGAGAACCGGAACACAGGUGCUGCAUGGCUGUCGUCAACUCGUGUCGAAGGAUGUUGGGUUAAGUCCCGCAACAGGGCAAUAAUGUUAGUUGCUACGAAAGGGCACUCUAAUGAGACUGCCGGUGACAAACCGGAGGAAGGUGGGGAUGACGUCAAGUCCUCAUGGCCCUUAUGGGUAGGGCUUCACGUCGCCACAAUGGUCGGGACAGAGGGGGUCGCCAACCCGCGAGGAGCCAAUCCCAGAAACCCGAUCGUAGUCCGGAUCGCAGUCUGCAACUCGACUGCGUGAAGUCGGAAUCGCUAGUAAUCGCGGAUCAGCAUGUCGCGUUGAAUACCCGUUCCGGGUCUUACACACCGCCCGUCACACCAUGGGGAGUGGGUUUUACCAGAAGUAGUUAGCCUAACCGUAAGGAGGGCGAUUGCGGUAGGAUUCAUGACUGGGGUGAAGUCGUAACAAGG
rnacentral:rRNA from 1 species